UGGGGAAUCUUGGACAAUGGGGGCAACCCUGAUCCAGCCAUGCCGCGUGAGUGAUGAAGGCCUUAGGGUCGUAAAGCUCUUUCGCCUGUGAUGAUAAUGACAGUAGCAGGUAAAGAAACCCCGGCUAACUCCGUGCCAGCACCGCGGUAAUACGGAGGGG
rnacentral:rRNA from 1 species